rnacentral:rRNA from 1 species
UACGUAGGGUGCGAGCGUUAAUCGGAAUUACUGGGCGUAAAGCGUGCGCAGGCGGUUUUGUAAGCCAGAUGUGAAAGCCCCGGGCUUAACCUGGGAAUGGCAUUUGGGACUGCAAGGCUUGAGUGCGGCAGAGGAGACUGGAAUUCCUGGUGUAGCAGUGAAAUGCGUAGAUAUCAGGAGGAAUACCGAUGGCGAAGGCAGGUCUCUGGGCUGACACUGACGCUCAUGCACGAAAGCGUGGGAGCAAACAGG